AUUGAACGCUGGCGGCAUGCCUUACACAUGCAAGUCGAACGGUAACGGGCCUUCGGGUGCCGACGAGUGGCGGACGGGUGAGUAAUACAUCGGAACGUGCCCGAUCGUGGGGGAUAACGAGGCGAAAGCUUUGCUAAUACCGCAUACGAUCUACGGAUGAAAGCAGGGGACCGCAAGGCCUUGCGAGGCCGGAGCGGCCGAUGGCAGAUUAGGUAGUUGGUGGGAUAAAAGCUUACCAAGCCGACGAUCUGUAGCUGGUCUGAGAGGAUGAUCCGCCACACUGGGACUGAGACACGGCCCAGACUCCUACGGGAGGCAGCAGUGGGGAAUUUUGGACAAUGGGCGCAAGCCUGAUCCAGCCAUGCCGCGUGCAGGAUGAAGGCCUUCGGGUUGUAAACUGCUUUUGUACGGAACGAAAAGCCUUCUUUUAAUACAGGAGGGUCAUGACGGUACCGUAAGAAUAAGCACCGGCUAACUACGUG
rnacentral:rRNA from 1 species